rnacentral:rRNA from 1 species
UACAGAGGGGGCAAGCGUUGUUCGGAAUUACUGGGCGUAAAGGGCGCGUAGGCGGCCUGUUAAGUCGAACGUGAAAUCCCCGGGCUCAACCCGGGAACUGCGUCCGAUACUGGCAGGCUUGAAUUCGGGAGAGGGAUGCGGAAUUCCAGGUGUAGCGGUGAAAUGCGUAGAUAUCUGGAGGAACACCGGUGGCGAAGGCGGCAUUCUGGACCGACAUUGACGCUGAGGAGCGAAAGCCAGGGGAGCAAACGGG